UACGCUUGCUGCUUUGCUGACGAGUGGCGGACGGAUGAGUAAUGUCUGGGAAACUGCCUGAUGGAGGGGGAUAACUACUGGAAACGGUGGCUAAUACCGCAUAACGUCGCAAGACCAAAGAGGGGGACCUUCGGGCCUCUUGCCAUCAGAUGUGCCCAGAUGGGAUUAGCUUGUUGGUGAGGUAACGGCUCAGCAAGGCGACGAUCCCUAGCUGGUCUGAGAGGAUGACCAGCCACACUGGAACUGAGACACGGCCCAGACUCCUACGGGAGGCAGCAGGGGGGAAUAUUGCACAAUGGGCGCAAGCCUGAUGCAGCCAUGCCGCGUGUAUGAAGAAGGCCUUCGGGUUGUAAAGUACUUUCAGCGGGGAGGAAGGUGUUGUGGUUAAUAACCGCUGUCUUGACGUUACCGAAGGCAAGAAGCACCGGCUAACUCCGUUCUGUGGAUGUCGGAAUACGGAGGUUGUUCGCGUUAAUCGGAAUUACUGCACGUAAAGCGCACGCUUGUGCGUCUGUCAAGUCGGAUGUGAAAAGUUUUAAGCUCAACGGCCGAACUCGCAUUCGAAACUGGUAGGCUUGAGUCUUGUAGAGGGGGGUAGAAUUCCGGGUGUAGCUCCAAAUAUGCAUCGAUUUACUGCAUGAACUACCAUGGUAUAUAAUCCU
rnacentral:rRNA from 1 species